CCAAGGAGUCUAACAUGUGCGCGAGUCGCAGGGUGCUCGCAAAAUAAAUGAAACACGAACCCUGAAGGCGUAAUGAAAGUGAAGGUCGGUGGUCUGACUGACCGAGGCGGGAUCCGUCCGGGCAUCGAUCGCAGGCCGCGAGGCUUAGCGGUGGGCCCGGCGGCGCACCGCCGGCCCGUCUCGACCGCUUCUUGUCGGCGAGGCGGAGCAAGAGCGCACACGUUGGGACCCGAAAGAUGGUGAACUAUGCUCGGGCAGGACGAAGCCAGAGGAAACUCUGGUGGAGGUCCGUAGCGAUUCUGACGUGCAAAUCGAUCGUCGGACCCGAGUAUAGGGGCGAAAGACUAAUCGAACCGUC
rnacentral:rRNA from 1 species